rnacentral:rRNA from 1 species
UACGAAGGGGGCUAGCGUUGCUCGGAAUGACUGGGCGUAAAGGGCGCGUAGGCGGUUUGUCCAGUCAGGUGUGAAAUUCCCGGGCUCAACCUGGGGGCUGCACUUGAUACGUAUGGACUGGAGUGGGGAAGAGGGUCGUGGAAUUCCCAGUGUAGAGGUGAAAUGCGUAGAUAUCGGGAGGAACACCAGUGGCGAAGGCGACUUCCUGGCCUGUUCUUGACGCUGAGGCGCGAAAGCUAGGGGAGCAAACGGG